CAGCAGCCACGGGAAUACGUAGGGUGCGAGCGUUAAUCGGAAUUACUGGGCGUAAAGCGUGCGCAGGCGGUUGUGUAAGACAGGUGUGAAAUCCCCGGGCUUAACCUGGGAACUGCGCUUGUGACUGCACAGCUAGAGUAUGGCAGAGGGGGGUGGAAUUCCACGUGUAGCAGUGAGAUGCGUAGAGAUGUGGAGGAACACCGAUGGCGAAGGCAGCCCCCUGGGCCAAUACUGACGCUCAUGCACGAAAGCGUGGGGAGCAAACAGGAUUAGAUACCCCUGUAGUCCCUGUCUCUUAUAC
rnacentral:rRNA from 1 species